CCUGACUGCUAUCGGAUUGAUACUAAGCCAUGCGAGUCUUUGUAGUAAUACAAGGCAUACGGCUCAGUAACGCGUAGUCAACCUACCCUAUGGACAAGAAUAAUCUCGGGAAACUGAGCAUAAUUCUUGAUAGAUCAUAAUGCCUGGAAUGGUUUAUGGUUAAAAUGAUUCGUCGCCAUAGGAUGGGACUGCGGCCUAUCAGCUUGUUGGUGAGGUAGUGGCCCACCAAGGCGAUUACAGGUACGGGCUCUGAGAGGAGAAGCCCGGAGAUGGGUACUGAGACAAGGACCCAGGCCCUAUGGGGCGCAGCAGGCGAGAAAACUUUGCAAUGUGCGAAAGCACGACAAGGUUAGUCCGAGUGAUUUCUGCUAAAGAGAUCUUUUGCUAGUUAUAAAACCACUAGUGAAUAAGGGGUGGGCAAGUUCUGGUGUCAGCCGCCGCGGUAAAACCAGCACCUCAAGUGGUCAGGAUGAUUAUUGGGCCUAAAGCAUCCGUAGCCGGCUCUGUAAGUUUUCGGUUAAAUCUAUACGCUCAACGUAUGGGCUGCCGAAAAUACUGUAGAGAUAGGGAGUGGGAGAGGUAGACGGUACUCGGUAGGAAGGGGUAAAAUCCUUUGAUCUAUCGAUGACCACCUGUGGCGAAGGCGGUCUACCAGAACACGUUCGACGGUGAGGGAUGAAAGCUGGGGGAGCAAACCGGAUUAGAUACCCGGGUAGUCCCAGCUGUAAACGAUGCAGACUCGAUGAUGCAUUGGCAUAUAGCCAGUGCAGUGUCGCAGGGAAGCCGUUAAGUCUGCCGCCUGGGAAGUACGUACGCAAGUAUGAAACUUAAAGGAAUUGGCGGGGGAGCACCACAAGGGGUGAAGCCUGCGGUUC
rnacentral:rRNA from 1 species